ACGCCUCAACUCUCAUGGCUUGCCAUGAUGAGCUUGGACUUUGGGGGUCUUGCUGGCCUGUGGUCAGCUCCUCUCAAAUGAAUCAGCUUGCCAGUGUUUGGUGGCAUCACAGGUGUGAUAACUAUCUACGCUUGUUGUUUUCCACCAGGUAACCUCCAGCAAUGGAGGUUCGCUGGAGCUCAUAAACGUCUCUCUUUGGUGGGGACAGCUCCUGAAC
rnacentral:misc_RNA from 1 species